UACGUAGGGGGCAAGCGUUGUCCGGAAUCAUUGGGCGUAAAGCGCGUGUAGGCGGCCCGGUAAGUCCGCUGUGAAAGUCCAGGGCUCAACCCUGGGAUGCCGGUGGAUACUGUCGGGCUCGAGUCCGGAAGAGGCGAGUGGAAUUCCCGGUGUAGCAGUGAAAUGCGUAGAGAUCGGGAGGAACAUCAGUUGCGAAGGCGGCUCUCUGGACCAGUACUGACGCUGAGGAGCGAAAGCGUGGGGAGCGAACAGG
rnacentral:rRNA from 1 species